rnacentral:rRNA from 1 species
UACGUAGGGGGCAAGCGUUGUCCGGAAUCAUUAGGCGUAAAGAGCGUGUAGGCGGCCCGAUAAGUCCGCCGUGAAAGUCCAGGGCUCAACCCUGGAAUGCCGGUGGAAACUGUCGGGCUGGAGUCCGGAAGAGGCGAGUGGAAUUCCUGGUGUAGCGGUGAAAUGCGCAGAUAUCAGGAGGAACACCAAUGGCGAAGGCAGCUUGCUGGGACGGUACUGACGCUGAGGCGCGAAAGCGUGGGGAGCAAACAGG